AACUUGGAUGAAUGUAUAUCAAUAGAUUGAAAAGAACACCGUUCUAUAAAAUUCUAGAUAGAGCUAUGAAAUGACAUUAUCUAUCUAUUAGUCUUGACCAAGUCACGUGCCAGCAGUCGCGGUAACACGUGGAAGACAAGUGUUAUUCAUGUUUAAUCGGUUUAAAGGGUACCUAGACGGUCUUUCAAGCCUAGUAAAGGGACUGUUGACUUGAGUGUAAUGUGAGAAAAUAGAACGUUGAGUGUAGGGAUGUAAUCCUUUGAUACCACACGGACUGAUAAAGGCGAAGGCAGUUUUCUAUGUAAACACUGACGUUGAGGGACGAAGGCUUUUCAUCACGAAUAGGAUUAGAUACCCUAGUAGUAUAAGCAGAAAAUGAUGAGUGUCAUAUGUAAGAAUGUGCUUUAAAAAAAUUUUUAUUUUUUUAGUUAUGGGCUUAUGCAAUAUUAUUGUGUAAAAAAUUUAUGUAUAAAUGAAAGUGUAAACACUCCACCUCAAGAGUAAUAUGGCAACGUAGAAACUGAAAUCACUAGACCGUGUCUGAAACCAGCAGUGAAGUAUGUUGUUUAAUUUGAUGACCCACGGAAAACCUUACCACAAUUUGUAUAUUUAUAUAUUUAUAUAAUUACAGGCGUUGCACGGCUGUCUUCAGUUAAUGUCGUGAGAUUUUGGUUAGCUCCAUUAAAUUAAUGUAAACCCUUAUUUUAUUUAUCAUAAAAUAUUCCUUCGAGAUAUUUAGAAGUUAUAGUAGG
rnacentral:rRNA from 1 species